CGGGCCCGGGUCUCCCUGGGCCGGGUCUCCCUGGCCCGCAGCCCGCCUCCCGGGGCGCGCCGACUCCCGCCCGGGCCGCCCGGCGAGUCGAGGCGAGGACCCCGAGACGAGGCAGAGCGCGGCAGGGCGCCCUCGGUCCUUCCUUACGGUGUCCGGUGUCCGUGCGCGAAAAAUCGGGCUUGGACACGCGCAGUGGGGCUGCGACAGGAAGCGCUGCUCGCCGGCAGCGACCUGCUGUCCUCCCCUCUCUGCGCCUUCGCCGGCCUCGGCCUCGGCCUCUGCGUCGGCACCGGGGUCACCUGGGGUCAGCCGGGGUCAGCAGGUGUGGGCACCAGGGUCAGCAGGUGUCACCUGGGGUCAGCCGGCCUCGGCACCGGGGUCAGCAGGUGUCACCCGGGGUCAGCAGGUGUUACCUGGGCUCAGCAGGUGUCACCCGGGGUCAGCCGGCGUCGGCACCAGGGUCAGCAGGUGUCACCCGGGGUCAGCAGGGGUCACCUGGGGUCAGCCGGCGUCGGCACCGGGGUCAGCAGGUGUGGGCACCAGGGUCAGCAGGUGUCACCUGGGGUCAGCCGGCGUCGGCACCAGGGUCAGCAGGUGUCACCUGGGGUCAGCCGGCGUCGGCACCAGGGUCAGCAGGUGUCACCUGGGGUCAGCCGGCGUCGGCACCAGGGUCAGCAGGUGUCACCUGGGGUCAGCCGGCGUCGGCACCAGGGUCAGCAGGUGUCACCUGGGGUCAGCCGGCGUCGGCACCAGGGUCAGCAGGUGUCACCUGGGGUCAGCCGGCGUCGGCACCAGGGUCAGCAGGUGUCACCUGGGGUCAGCCGGCGUCGGCACCAGGGUCAGCAGGCAUCGGCACCCGGGGUCAGCAGGCAUCGGCACCCAGGGUCAGCAGGUGUCACCCGGGGUCAGCAGGUGUUACCUGGGGUCAGCAGGUGUCACCCGGGGUCAGCCGGCGUCGGCACCCGGGGUCAGCAGGUGUGGGCACCAGGGUCAGCAGGGGUCACCUGGGGUCAGCCGGCGUCGGCACCGGGGUCAGCAGGUGUGGGCACCAGGGUCAGCAGGUGUCACCUGGGGUCAGCCGGCGUCGGCACCCGGGGUCAGCAGGUGUCACCUGGGGUCAGCCGGCGUCGGCACCAGGGUCAGCAGGUGUCACCUGGGGUCAGCCGGCGUCGGCACCAGGGUCAGCAGGUGUCACCUGGGGUCAGCAGGCGUCGGCACCCAGGGUCAGCCGCAGUCUGCAAGCACCUGCUUUCUUGUGAUGAAUUCGUAGGCCAGCAGGUGCCUACCGCCAUUCAGGCCACGUCAUCUCCUCGCCCAGGCAUUUUGCCACCAGAAGGGCCAGCGCAGCCCAGUAGGGUAUUUUGA
rnacentral:lncRNA from 1 species